rnacentral:misc_RNA from 1 species
AACCAUAGAAACCUGCGGAGUACCUGCGGAAGGAUCAUUAUCGAGUUGCAAAACUCCAACCCUUUGUGAACAUACCUCAGUCGUUGCUUCGGCGGUGGACGGCCUUUUUUCGAAAAGGCCCGAAGCCGCCGGAGGUUCCAAACUCGUGUUUUGUUUAGUGUAUCUCUGAGCCUGAAAACAAAUAAUCAAAACUUUUAACAAUGGAUCU